UUUUCGUACCACGGCGAGGCCGGAUUCCUGUUUUAUCAUGAAUAUUCAUUAGGCAGGGUCGGGGAAAGUCUCGAUUCUCUUAAAUAUUCAUAUCGAGGUGGGAAUGCACGACGCGCGCUAUACUCGCACAAAGUGAGAAGAUUUAGUUCACGGAGAAUGCAUAUGGAUUGAAACUGAAGAGCUGGAAGGAGGACAUUACAACAUCUCUUAUAUUUGCAAGAUGAAGCAGAAAGUCCCAUGCAGGAUGAUGCCUCUCUACAGUGGAUGAUGAAGGCAUUCUGGUUUGCAAACUCAGGAGAGGAACAAAGAACAGAUGUUGACGGGAUCAUAUCUAGAGAUGCGGGCCUACUACACUUCAUACGAGCAAGUGUGCUAAUAUACAUGAAGGUACCCCCAAUAAAUUUUUGUGGAACAAAUGUCAUGGAGAAAAUUAUAGAUCUAAAACAGAUAUUUUUCAUUGUCAGUUGACUUGUAAAAGAAUAAUUGACUUAAUAUCACAAUUGUAAUUUAGAUUAAAAAU
rnacentral:lncRNA from 1 species